rnacentral:rRNA from 1 species
GACGAACGCUGGCGGCGUGCUUAACACAUGCAAGUCGAACGGAAAGGCCCUGCUUUUGUGCGGUGCUCGAGUGGCGAACGGGUGAGUAACACGUGAGUAACCUGCCCUUGACUUUGGGAUAACUUCAGGAAACUGGGGCUAAUACCGGAUAGGAGCUCCUGCUGCAUGGUGGGGGUUGGAAAGUUUCGGCGGUUGGGGAUGGACUCGCGGCUUAUCAGCUUGUUGGUGGGGUAGUGGCUUACCAAGGCUUUGACGGGUAGCCGGCCUGAGAGGGUGACCGGCCACAUUGGGACUGAGAUACGGACCAGACUCCUACGGGAGGCAGCAGUGGGGAAUAUUGCACAAUGGGCGGAAGCCUGAUGAAGCAACGCCGCGUGCGGGAUGACGGCCUUCGGGUUGUAAACCGCUUUCGCCUGUGACGAAGCGUGAGUGACGGUAAUGGGUAAAGAAGCACCGGCUAACUACGUG